UCUGUUCUGAUCCUCUCACCUGGUUCCUGGGGGUUGACUGGACAUCUUGGGUGUUCUUUAGUUGUGGAAGCAUCAUGCUAAUCUCUGUCUUCAUCUUCAUGCAGUGUUUUCUCUGUAGGCCAAGCAUGACCAUGAGGAAGAUGUAGUCCCAUCCUGAUAAGAAAACUCUGCCAUGCAAAGUCCACAUGCUUGGAAAAUGGCAAAGAAGAACACUAACCUAUGCAUGCACACCGAGCCCAGGCUGGACUUUGUGUGUACUCUAAAAAGAGUCACUGCCCCAGUCUGGUGAGUUCCCCAAGUCUUCAGAAGGUCAGGAGUCCAGGUGGCUUCUACAGAGUGCAGACCAUUACUAAAAUCUCCCCAUUUUCAAAUGUAUAAAUUUGUAAACUUUUCAGGAGAACUGACAGCUUGGGUAGCAAAUGACCAUUCUUUGGGGAAGUCACAGCUUUAACUCCAAAGGAGAGCAUUCUGGAAUUGUUUUCAUACCAUGGCUUUUCAGUAAAAAUUAGGCUGCAGACACUCUCACUCUGAAUUAAAGAGAAUGAAUUUUACCUGCUUGUCUCAGACCAGCUCCGUGCUCAGAUUAUCUCAGGGUUCAUAAGAGUCCCUUAAAUAUUCAUGAAGGCAUAAAGGAUCCCAAAGUUAAUUUACAUACUGUAGGUGGAGAGCAAAGAAGCCUGAUUUUCGGGUACAUAUAUAUGUGAAAAGCCAACAUUAGUCAAUUCUCCUCCAGAGGAAGAUUCUUCCGCGUACCAGAUGGAUGACAAAAGGGAAAGUACUUUGUUUCAAAACCUACUUCAACUCCCAAGUCACCUGUCAAACAAUCCACACAUACUCAAGCACAAGCACAAACACAUCAAAUUCUGGAUGUUAGAGGAGGAAAAAAACAGAGGUCAUAUGUAUGCAUGAUGCUGCUUCUUCUCACUCAUGAGUUCAGAGUAAUUUUUUCACCUGCUAACUCAAUGUCAGAGUCGGAGAGACCAAAUUCAGACUAAACUGCCAGGGGACUAAGCAUGUGAUGUUUGGCAAAGCAAUCAUUACAAAGAAACCUUACUUCUAAAGAAAGAAACACGGAUGCCCUGAGGAGGAUUUGACCUGUAAGUUGUUCUUUGAUGGUAAAAAAAAAAAAAAAAAAAAAAAGAAAAAAAAAAAAA